rnacentral:snRNA from 1 species
GUCCUCAUUUUGGCUGCACAUAUAUUAAAAUUUGAACAAUAUAGAGAGGAUUAGCAUGGCCCCUAAAGAAAGAUUCAUCAGAUCAAUAAAGACUAUCUAUACCU